GGCACAGUGGUGCAGUGGGUUGCACGAUUCCCUCACAGCAAGAAGGUCGUGGGUUUGAAUCCACCCUGUGGCU